AGUGAACGCUGGCGGUAGGCCUAACACAUGCAAGUCGAACGGCAGCACAGUAAGAGCUUGCUCUUACGGGUGGCGAGUGGCGGACGGGUGAGGAAUACAUCGGAAUCUACUUUUUCGUGGGGGAUAACGUAGGGAAACUUACGCUACUACCGCAUACGACCUACGGGUGAAAGCAGGGGAUCUUCGGACCUUGCGCGUUUGAAUGAGCCGAUGUCGGAUUAGCUAGUUGGCGGGGUAAAGGCCCACCAAGGCGACGAUGCGUAGCUGGUCUGAGAGGAUGAUCAGCCACACUGGAACUGAGACACGGUCCAGACUCCUACGGGAGGCAGCAGUGGGGAAUAUUGGACAAAGGGCGCAAGCCUGAUCCAGCCAUACCGCGUGGGUGAAGAAGGCCUUCGGGUUGUAAAGCCCUUUUGUUGGGAAAGAAAAGCAGCAGGUUAAUACCCCGCUGUUCUGACGGUACCCAAAGAAUAAGCACCGGCUAACUUCGUG
rnacentral:rRNA from 1 species